CUCAAGUCUAUCUUCCCUGAAAGAAUUUUGAAUUGUUCCGGUCCCAGGGACUUCUCUGCCCUGUUUUUCUGGUCAUGUAAAACAAUGUGUAUUCAGAGAAGUUUGGCCUCCAUUGCUGUCUUCCUCUCCUCUCAGGCUGAUCACUAGGAAGAGGGAAGAUGUUAGAAGGCAAACGGAUUUGUUGGGGAAUCGCAGCAGCUGAAGACUAUCAUGCCAUCAAUCCAGAUAUAGAAGGAAGAUGGAAGAGAUAUGGAAGUGAAUAAAAAUAACAGUCCAGGAAGCUUUGCACUGAUUUAAAAAAACUUGU